GGAUUGGGGACUACCAACCUUCCUACGUCAAAGACCGCUGCUGCAGUAGCUGCCCAGUCAGGAAUACUUGAUAGAACAAUUUCUCUGAUUAUGAAGAAUCAAACACCAACAAAGAAGUAUGAUGGCUACACAUCAUGUCCACUGUUG